UACGUAGGGGGCAAGCGUUGUCCGGAAUCAUUGGGCGUAAAGAGCUCGUAGGCGGCUCAAUAAGUCGGGUGUGAAACCCCCAGGCUCAACCUGGGGACGCCACCCGAUACUGUUGUGGCUAGAGUCCAGUAGGGGAGUGUGGAAUUCCCGGUGUAGCGGUGAAAUGCGCAGAUAUCGGGAGGAACACCAGCGGCGAAGGCGGCACUCUGGGCUGGUACUGACGCUGAGGAGCGAAAGCGUGGGUAGCAAACAGG
rnacentral:rRNA from 1 species